AAUCAACGCUGGCGGCGUGCCUCAGACAUGCAAGUCGAACGAUUAAAGCUCUCUUCGGAGAGUGUAUAGAGUGGCGCACGGGUGAGUAACACGUAAGUAAUCUACCCUCGAGUGGGGAAUAACAACCGGAAACGGUUGCUAAUACCGCAUAAUGCAGCGGCACCGCAAGGUGACAGUUGUUAAAGAUUUAUCGCUUGAGGAGGAGCUUGCGGCAGAUUAGCUAGUUGGUAGGGUAACGGCUUACCAAGGCUACGAUCUGUAACCGGUCUAAGAGGACGGUCGGUCACACUGACACUGAAUAACGGGUCAGACUCCUACGGGAGGCAGCAGUCGGGAAUUUUGGGUAAUGGGCGAAAGCCUGACCCAGCAACGCCGCGUGAAGGAUGAAGUAUUUCGGUAUGUAAACUUCGAAAGAAUAGGAAGAAUUAAUGACGGUACUAUUUAUAAGGUCCGGCUAACUACGUGCCAGCAGCCGCGGU
rnacentral:rRNA from 1 species